rnacentral:rRNA from 2 species
GCCACACUGGGACUGAGACACGGCCCAGACUCCUACGGGAGGCAGCAGUGGGGAAUAUUGCACAAUGGGCGCAAGCCUGAUGCAGCGACGCCGCGUGAGGGAUGACGGCCUUCGGGUUGUAAACCUCUUUCAGUAGGGAAGAAGCCGUAAGGUGACGGUACCUGCAGAAGAAGCGCCGGCUAACUACGUGCCAGCAGCCGCGGUAAUACGUAGGGCGCAAGCGUUAUCCGGAAUUAUUGGGCGUAAAGAGCUCGUAGGCGGUUUGUCGCGUCUGCUGUGAAAGACCGGGGCUCAACUCCGGUUCUGCAGUGGGUACGGGCAGACUAGAGUGCAGUAGGGGAGACUGGAAUUCCUGGUGUAGCGGUGAAAUGCGCAGAUAUCAGGAGGAACACCGAUGGCGAAGGCAGGUCUCUGGGCUGUAACUGACGCUGAGGAGCGAAAGCAUGGGGAGCGAACAGGAUUAGAUACCCUGGUAGUCC